rnacentral:rRNA from 1 species
CCAGACUCCUACGGGAGGCAGCAGUGAGGAAUAUUGGUCAAUGGUCGGGAGACUGAACCAGCCAAGCCGCGUGAGGGAGGAAGGUACAGAGUAUCGUAAACCUCUUUUGUCAGGGAACAAAGACUGGGACGCGUCCCCGGAUGAGCGUACCUGAAGAAAAAGCAUCGGCUAACUCCGUGCCAGCAGCCGCGGUAAUACGGAGGAUGCGAGCGUUAUCCGGAUUUAUUGGGUUUAAAGGGUGCGUAGGCGGUCCGUUAAGUCAGCGGUAAAAUUGCGGGGCUCAACCCCGUCGAGCCGUUGAAACUGGCAGACUUGAGUUGGCGAGAAGUACGCGGAAUGCGCAGUGUAGCGGUGAAAUGCAUAGAUAUUGCGCAGAACUCCGAUUGCGAAGGCAGCCUACCGGCUCCUGUCUGACGCUGAGGCACGAAAGCGUGGGUAUCGAACAGGAUUAGAUACCCAGGUAAG